rnacentral:rRNA from 1 species
UACGGAGGGUGCAAGCGUUAUCCGGAUUCACUGGGUUUAAAGGGUGCGUAGGCGGAUAGGUAAGUCCGUGGUGAAAUCCUGCAGCUUAACUGCAGAACUGCCGUGGAUACUAUCUAUCUUGAAUGUCGUGGAGGUUAGCGGAAUAUGUCAUGUAGCGGUGAAAUGCUUAGAUAUGACAUAGAACACCGAUAGCGAAGGCAGCACUCUGGGACGUGACUGACGCUGAGACGCGAAAGCGUGGGGAGCAAACAGG